CACUGACAGUUUUUACUGUUAAUUUUUCAUUUAAUAAUCUUGAAACUCCUCACACAAAACACACUUUUGUUUUUAUCUAGGUUUGUUCAAUAUCACGAUGAGUUGAGGCUGAGGAGGGAUGCCACCGAGCUGUUUGCCCUUUUACUCUUCGCAGAGCAAAUUUUAACACCAACGAUUGCCUGUAUCUCCGUGGUUGACCUGGUCAAACAAUCUGUUAUUUUACCCUUUGAGCUCAAUUCUCAUGCUAAAACAAGUCCUCAUUCUGAACCUCAGUUAACUGGACUCUUAAAUGAUGAAAACUGUAAGAAGUGCCUGAGUAUUCACUGGCAUAUUGUCAGUUCUAGUGGCGGAAACAUCAACAGUCUAAUCGAGAAUUAUGAUGAUGUCAACAGUGACAGAUUAGUAGUUUCUGAGAAGACCAUGUUUCAACUGCAGUCAGCAUCGCUGCCGUUCAGCAUCACCCAGUUACUCUACGCUAUUCAGAACGCAACUCAUCAUACCACUGUCAUCGAAACUUUGGAUGUCAUUGCCAGAUAUCUGGAAAUGUAUUGGUUGAUUACUGCAGAAGAGCUGAACGAAAUUCCACUCAGAGCCUCCUUAGAAAGAUUUUUAUCCUCACCUCCGUCAAAUGCCAUGGAUCAGGAGCUACUCGUAAUUGUCUUGAAAUUCAUCGCAGAGCACUCUCACAUACUCAGACACCAUCUUACGUGGCUCCCUAGUCUUUUGUGCGAUGAAAGGAAUGCUUUAUCAAAACUUGUGGUAUCUCACAUUGGCAAUGAUAGUACUCUCACAAAGUGGAAAGAAAUAUGUAUAGAAAUAUUCCAUUUGAGCAGGAAGUGUGUACAGCUAUUCAGGUUGGAAAAUUGGACCAACAUCACCACCAAUAUUGAAAAGUGCCUUCGAUUCAGCCACACGCAGCAUUUCUACAACCUAGCAUUUCUGGAUGCUUUGCUAUCCUGUUUUGUGGAGAUCACCACAGCAUCUCCGUUGCAACCAAUUGAUUCCACCGAACUUUGGGAGCUGAUAUCUGCGUUCCAUUGCAGCAAUCCCCAAUCAUUCAUGGGGCUCAGCGUCACAAGGAACACUUUGAUCCUCCUCAAUCAUCUUUUUCACUUUGCGGUGCGGUGUAAAAGAUGGGAGGAUGUUUGGCUAGUUGAGAGCCGGAUGAUCUGGUUCCCGCUGCUCUUCGCAAGCCGUGACGUAAUUGUACGUGCUUCAGCUUUCCAGUUGGCCAGCGGUCUGACAAGCUCAAGAGCGGGUGCCGAAUUUAUGUUGACUGCAGUGGAUGGUCUUUGGAGCACGUCUUUAGGUGUUCUUAUGAAUCAUCGAGAAGCGAGUGUUGUAAGAGAGAAUGCAGGCAUGAUCUGCUCCAAUAUCAUAAGCCAUGGAACCAAAGACUUAAUGGUAGACCGGUGUAAAGAAAUAGGACUCUUUGAAUAUUUUUCUGUUAUUGUCUCCCAGUUAAGGAUAUCACCUCUCAUGGACUCAACGCAAGAAGGAUCUCCAACAACAAACGGAGACUAUGCACCAACCACGCCAGAUUUACUGAAAGUCUGUUGCCUCCUCCUAAUGAAUUUAUGUUGUUUAAGGGAAACUACUCUGAGAGACGCCUAUCAAGAUGGAUUUACAGUUUCUUUGUUUAGAUUUUUAAGUUCUUUUCAAGUGCCAAAUAAUUUAUUGCGGGAUGUUGUAACGAUGUUAACUGCCAUGUGUUCGUUACUAGCUCAUACAAUGAACAAAGUUGAAAAUAUUCUUGUGCCCAACUGUACCAUUGUCAUUUUGCCUCUGUUGAAUACUGAUUUGUUUGGUGAGAAUUUAACGCUAGAGCGCGAUACCUUGUGGGGUGAAUUGUGGUUUUUUAUAUCUACGAUUCCAUCAUCGUCCAGCUCACUAGUCAAUUUAAAUCCUCCUGCAAUUUCAGCAUUGUUAUACUCCCUCUCCAGCUCCAACCGGACUUUACAAAUGAAUGCAUUGGUCGCUGUUAGAGCUUUGUCUCCAAGUUUCAAUAGAGAUACAGCAAAUGAGUUAACUGUUUCGUUGUUAGCCCAUUGGGAUGUAUUUUCAAGUGGGAGCAAGCGAUUGGCUUUGUAUUCAGCAUUAGGUCAACUGUUCAUGGACUGGGGCGAAACGUCAGUGUGUGCUUUGAAACAUGAUUUUGGAAACCUUGUAUUGUUUAGAUUGAAGAAAAUCCACGUUGAUCUCAGUGUGGCUGCUCCAGACGUCCUCCGAUCGAAAAAAAAUCAUCCUACUUUAACUCACCUGAUUGAUCUUCUAGGCUUAUUAAGCAACUUCUUGGCUAGCAGUGAAUUAGUAAAAAAAAGCAUGGCAGAGAAUGGUCUUGCAGCUGUCUUUCACAAUUUAUGGGUAUGGUGCUCUUUGAACUCGAACCUUUUCCAAAGGUAUUUAGAAGUUCUGUGCACUUUUACUGCAGAUUCACCUGACGCCUGCCAUUCAGUUGUCUCUAGCACCAUAAUCUGUGGCAAGACACCACGGUCUCCAUCUUUGCUUCAUGCUUUGAUAUCUUACGUCAUCAGUGAAGAGAGCUUUUCAGUCAUGUUUCAAGCAGCUCUGACAGUCCUAAGCCACUGCUGUCAGUCAAGCAGUGCAGGCUAAUUAUUUCCAAG
rnacentral:lncRNA from 1 species